UACAUGGGGUGCAAACGUUGCUCGGAAUUAUUGGGCGUAAAGCGCACGUAGGCGGUUCGUUAAGUCGGAUGUGAAAGCCCUCGGCUCAACUGAGGAAGUGCACCCGAAACUGGCGAGCUUGAGUACGAAAGAGGAUCGCGGAAUUCCCGGUGUAGAGGUGAAAUUCGUAGAUAUUGACAGGAACACCGGUGGCGUAAGCGGCUAUCUGGACCGACAUUGACGCUGAGGCACGAAAGCGUGGGGAUCAAACAGG
rnacentral:rRNA from 1 species